rnacentral:rRNA from 1 species
AAAUUGAAGAGUUUGAUCAUGGCUCAGAUUGAACGCUGGCGGCAGGCCUAACACAUGCAAGUCGAACGGUAACAGGAAGAAGCUUGCUUCUUUGCUGACGAGUGGCGGACGGGUGAGUAAUGUCUGGGAAACUGCCUGAUGGAGGGGGAUAACUACUGGAAACGGUAGCUAAUACCGCAUAAUGUCGCAAGACCAAAGAGGGGGAUCUUCGGGCCUCUUGCCAUCGGAUGUGCCCAGAUGGGAUUAGCUUGUUGGUGGGGUAACGGCUCACC